rfam:Schistosoma mansoni strain Puerto Rico chromosome W, complete genome
AUCCGUCUGACGAGUCUCAAAUAGGACGAAACGCGCGUCAAAAUGGAU